GAAUUAUGUUCUGCAGACACGUGUUUUGAACGACUCACACACUGAAGUAAAUCUUGGGACAGUCUUGAGAGAAGCAUAUGAGGAGUGGAAUAUAAGUGACAAAAAACCUGCACUGGUCACCGAUAAUGCCAGCAACACUGCGAUAGCCAGACAAUAGGCAAAUGUGUCACUGCACAUUAAAUGCUUUGCGCAUACAGUUAACUUGGCAACACAAAAAGGCCUGAAAUGUGCUGGUGCAAUCCGUCUUUUGGGAAGAGUGAGAAAUUUUGUAAUUUUUUCAACACAGCUUGGUUGGUACCGCUGUUUUAAAAGCGAAGCAGAGGUUGCUCGGAAUUCCAGAACACAAGCUUAAACAAGACGUGAUCACUCACUGGAACAGCUCCUUUGAUGGAGCUGGAGCGAUUUUUGGAGCAACAAGCUGCAGUGUGUAGUUCACUUCUGGACAAGAACUAAGGAAAGUCACAAAUGACAUGCAUACACUCGUACACUUGCAUACAAAUGACAUGACAAAACAACAUCGCUACAGCUGAAGAAAGGGUUAAGCUACUCGAACCAGUGAAAACAGCCACCACCAUAAUGUGCGAGGAAGAGCAGCCCACUGUAUCUGUCACUGCACCUCUUCAAGCUAAAUUGUUGGAGCAUUUCUGUGUCGCAGAUGAAGACUCCAAUUUGAUUACAGAGAUGAAGCAGACAAUGGCAAGGGAGCUUGAACAUCGAUAUCUGGAUGUGAGGCAAGUUCUAUAUAGAGCAUCUUCCUUGGAUACGAGAUUUAAAAAGCUGCCUUUUGUAAGUGAGGAGAAGAGAGAUGCAACUUUCCAGUGUCUCAUCCAUGAGGCUGCAGAGCUUAUGGACCAGAAAAAUGGCACAGGCUGAGAAUGCAACUGCUCACUCAUUUGUUGAUCAAACUUCUGUUGUUGAUCCUACUUGAUUCCAGUGUCCCAGGCUGAAACCACUGAAGAAGAAUAUGUUCCUACUUCCAAGAAGUAAAAAAUAUAUGAAGAUAUCUUCAGUGACACCUUCUGCACUGUGGACCAUAGCCAGAUGGCCAAGACCUCUAAAGAGCUGGCCCAUGCUGAAGUUGUUAAGACACUGCAUCUUUGAACCUGGGAGGUAAGGUGUUGGAGUGAUGAAAAAGUCAUCGAACUGAGUUUCCCCUCCUGGCAAACCUUGCCAAAACAUACCUUUCCAUUCCUGGUACUAGUGUACCAUCUGAGCAUGUGUUUAGCACUGUAGGUGAUAUCGUCCAUUCAGAACGCAGUGUCCUGUCUGCUGAGCAUGUUGAUCAGUUGAUUUUCUAAAGAAAAACCUCUCGAAAGAGACCACUAGAAGAUCUUGUUUGACGUUGUAAAAAGAUGUCAAAUUGUCACUGAUAACUUUAUUUUUGAAAUUUAUUUUUUUAUAUUUAUUUUCUUGUAUACAUUUUUUCAACAACUGGAGUACCUCAUUUUGUUGUGUAUGUCCUAAUGGGGAUACUAGAUUUGCACAUUUUAGAGAGCACAGAUGACUGAAAGACUUUCUUGACUGUUGUCAUUUGCUUAUCUCAUUGCACAAGCCAAUGAGCUGUCAUCAGACGAUUGAUCUCAUGUGACUUGAUUUUUUUUUUUCAUUAUUUAUUUUUCUAUAUUUUAUUAUUUAAAAAACUGAAGUGUAUUUUUUGUUGUGGAUGUCCCAGUUGGAAUUCUGGAUUUGCAAUGUUCAGAGAGUUCAAUUAAAUGUUCAUGUUAUAUUUUGGUUGCAUUUGUGAGUUUAUAAAAAUUUUACUGGUUGUGUAAAAGAGGCACGUAAUAUCAAUAUAUCGAUCGCAGGCCCCUGAAUUGAAUCAAAUAUUGUAUCGCUGGCUAAGAGAAUCGAUGUCAGAUCGUAUCGUGAUGAAACGUCCGAUUUACACCUAUCUUUUCUCUUGUUCUUUGCUAAUGAGGGAGUUAAGUUUAUGUUGUUUGUUUUGCUUUUCACAGGUUAGUUAGAUUUUACUCCCCAUUAGGCAGAGGUUUUAUGCUUGUUAUUUUUGCCUUUGCUCCCUCCUGAAGCCUUUUAAACUUCCAUUUUCUGUUUUGAUUAAAUACAUUUUUUGUUGACUAUGAAACUUGACUGACCAUUGAGAGCUGGGACAGAAAAAGGGAACUCCCACAUCUUGUUACUCCUCUCCAAUCCCUAGACUGGAGCGGAACAUAACAGUUCAAAUUCACUAACUAUCAUAAUCUUAUAUUCUAUUUAAUUUUUAUUUUUUAUUUUUUAUUUAGUUUAAUAUUUUCUGACUUGAGGCUCUUGUUUAAUCCAUUGUAGUUUUCAUUUUUGUAGUUCUGAAUGACUUUUAAUUAUUUUAAUUUUUUAUUUGCCUUCUCAAAUUCAUCUGGGUUUCUACAGUCAAAAGCACAGUUGCUUGUUUACUUGAAUUAACGUGGAUUUUGGGUGAAAUGCAUGUGGACAUCUCACCAAAUACUGGGUGUAUACAUUUUUUAUUUAUUUAUUUAUUUUCUUUUAACAAACAAGUUUGCAGAGAUUUUGCUGGGAGCAAUGCCUGCUGAAGCUCUGUGGGGUUAAAGUUUUUGAACCUGAGAGAAUGAAGAAGAAGAAAAACGAUGCUCUUGACAAUGAGAGGGGAAACUAGGGAGUGCUAAGGCCGCAUACUAUACUCGGGUAUGAAAAAGAAGCCGUGCAGAUGAGAGGAUAUCGCUGUAAUUUGACAUUUGCAGUGGGAGAUGAGGUUCAAUUUAGAGAGGGUUCUCGAGAAAUCACAAAUUACGCUGCCUCCUUUGAAUGAGCUCCUGUGCUCUUUUUCCAAUCCACUUCCAGUGGCUCAUUGCUUGCCUCCGGAAAGGCUGGCUUUGGUUUUUCCUCAGCUGGGUAAGUUUUUCAUGCAGUCCACACAGCUUUGCCGAUGCUAUCUAAUUCCAGUAUAGAGACAGCUAUUUUAUCCUCUGCACAGGGAGAAAAUGUGGCCACUGCAAAGACCCGCAUUCUCUUUACACUAUAUUUGCUUUUUUCAUUCGACAAAUAUAAUUGUGAAUUAUAAAUACUUGUGUUUUUCCAGCUGUCUGUUUCAUAGACUUAAAAAAAUAUAUAUAAAAAUAAAAAAAUAAAAAAUGAUAUAGCUUGUUUCACAAUGCUGGCAAGCCAUUUAAUUACUGUAAUUAGUGGCUAUGGCCACUAGAGAUCCUAGAGCAAGAUUUGAUCUCUCUGCCUUCUUUACCGCAGCUGCAAACAACCUAGUUACAAUAAGACCAUCUCAAAGGGAAAAUGGAGUGUUUAUCGGCGCAAACAAACUAAACAAAAAUUUUAGGACAAAACUGAAAGCACUGUCUGAUGCUUUUUUUUUUUAAGGCACUAAAGUAAUAUUGAAUGAAAAAGUUCUGUAAAGUGCUGUAAAGAGAAUGUUUUGAAUCAUGUAUGUCAUGCAUAAAUACUGAAGAUUGAAUAUUAUAGUUAAGAGUUAUUAAGAGUAGUUUUAAAGUGUUAAAGGAAUUUUGUCACUUACUCACCUUUAGGUUGUUCCAAUGUAUUAUUUUCUUGCUUUCAUUAAAAGGAAAAUGAGAUUGUCUUUUGCAUACUGUACAACAACAAAACUAUCAUAAGGCUCCAAAAAAAAAGUCUGAAUAUAGCACACUGAGUAUAAGUAGUAUUUUUUUUAUUAUUAUUUGUUUUUUAAUUUUGUUAUAAAUUUUUUAUUAAUUAGUGACACUAAAUUGACAUGCUAAAUUAACAACCAUACUUAGAACUAAACUAAAAAUGUUAAUAAACAGACACAUGGUUUUAAAUUGGAGGCAAAACCAUUGACAAAGAAAAUACUGCAAAUCUGUCAUGUUAUGUAGCCUACUCAAAAGAUGAAAAGUAUUACAAAAAACUAUAAAAUAAAUAAAUAAAAUAAAAUAAAAAAUAACUAGUGAGCCUACUUAGGCACAUGACUGAAUACAUAAAAUAACCACUUGUUGUAAAGAAAAUAAGCUGUCUUCUUUAAAUGAGCAUCAGGGCAUUUACGGUAUCUUUCUUAGCUUUUCUCCUGGAGAUUUGCUGACAGAAACUUGUCGUGUCCUUGCAACCAAGCUGUCUUAUUCACUGCACAAUAAAUAAAGAUGAUCACUUAUGGCAUUUAAUGUUAAACAUUAAGAGGCAUGUCAGUUAACCAAAAAAAUGUAAGCUCCAUCAUAAAAACAUCAUAAAAACAGAAUAAGCAAAACAGAAAUUCAGCAGAGCUCAACUGGCAUACGACCACAUGUUUUGAUGCAAGAUGCUGAUGACAGAGAAAUAUGUUGAGAACUAAAUAUCAUUUUUGGCUAGUGUCCAAAAGAACAUGAUUUCAUUAAUUUAGCCAUCAAUAAAGUGUUUUAAACUUUUGGUUCACUCUUGCUUCAGAUAAUUGAGUUCCACGCACCAGAUGUGCAAUCUGCUAGCACACUUGCUUAGCAUAGUUUGCUAGCAAGCUAGUUGCUCUCUUGUGUGCAAUGUUGUGUUAACUGAAAAGAAUCAGCACUUUUGGGGAGUUUUGAUAAAUGUUCUGUGAGGUGUGACAUCUAAAAUGUGAACAAAGUCUAAAGACCCUUAACAAAGCAUGCAAACCAACAAGUAAAGAACCAUGACUAGCAGGAGUAGUUUGAAUAUUUGCUUAAAGGUGAUGUACUUUACAGUAAAGUAAGACUUUAUGGGUUAAUUUGUCCAAAAGGUGGCUCUGUGGCGUUUUCAACAUUUUUUGUUUGAGCAUCCCGACCAGUAUGACAUAGCAAAUUAGCUCAAAGAAUGAUGGGAGUUUGUGGUGGGAGUACCUGCUUGGGCGUUCCAUUCAAGUCAUUCAAGCCUCAUGUGGGCUAUUCCUACUUUACUGUAUAUCUCUGAUCAUAAAGGCAUUCCAUUGCCAGAUGCUCGGAAGAUGUUGUGUAAGGAAACAAGAGAGCAAAGCUCCCUUUAGCUUAGCAGGUGUUUGACGGUCAUAUCUAGAAGGUGACCCUCAUGUCAACAUUUUCGCACAUGCGCGUUCCUGUUGAUGCUUUUGCCGCUCGCCUUCAGCUUAUUAAUGAUGGAAAGCAUUAAAUACUUUAAGUCUCUUAAAGUAUAAGUUGAUGAAUGGAUUUGUGUGUGUAGCACUGUACCAAGUUCUCUUCUUUUUGUUGUGUUGUUUGUACAACUUGUAAUGUUAAUCCUGUUCAGUUGCAUUAAUGUUAGAAUGUUAAAGUUGUAGCCUAUAGCUUAGUAAGGCUACUGUUAUGGUCUUUGUUGCUCUUCUUGUCUUUGUUACCUGUUUUAAAUGGCUUUAUUUUCUAGAUGAUGAUAAAAACUAUUAUUAUUAAGAGUCAUGCAAUCCCAUAUUUCUAGACAAAAGUGUUAAGGCACAUAUAACUUUAAACUGGGUGGUUGGGUGGAUGGUACUUUCUGCAUCGUGUUCAGGGGGGUUUGGGAACAUUGCCAGUUCAUAAGCAUGAGUUUCCAUUUUGUUCAUGUGUGUUCAAAUAAGUGGCGAUCCGGCGCUAUAAUGUGUUUUGAGUGGUAUGAUGAGUGCUCGUGGCUUUUGGGUGACAGCUGUAAUGUUCUCUUGUGCACAUAGAUGCUUGCUCUACUCGCUCCUUUCCAGUCGAAUCACAAAGGAAUAUGCAAACACAUGUCCCCACUCAAGAUAUACAUCCACAGAUGUGCGGAUGCAAUCUUGGUUUAUUAAAAUAAAAAAUUACAAAAAGGCAGAUUCAAACCAACAACCUUUUUCAUCAAUGACAGCAAUACUACCACUACACCAACCAGCCAGCUCUUAGUAGUUGAGCUUAUUGGUGUAUAUUAAAACAAGCUAACAGUAUCCCACGACAGGUAGUUGCAGAUUUAGAGCUGAAUUUAUCACUUUAAUUGUGUGAAAUAUUUAUUUGAGCCCUUGAAUUUGUCAUCAGGAAUGACUAUUUAUCAAAACAGAACAUUUUCAGUAAUCUUUUACUGUGCAUAACCUAAUUAAUAUUUGUGAGUUUUGCCACUUCGCACCCCCGUUAGAGCAGCGAAAGCAUCAACAGAAAGUGCAUGUGUGAGAAUCUUGACAUGAGAGGGUUACCUUCUAGACACAACUGUGUUUGACUGUCACCUGAGAUGUCUCCUAGCAACCCAACUGAAAAACAAUGCUGAAACGCUAGUAUGUGCUACAGGUGUACGUUAAUAAAAAAUAAAAGUAUAAUAUACCAUGUUUUAUACACCUGUUUCUGCAGGCGUUUGUUAAACAAGUUUUAAUAUCAUGUAAUGUAGGAACUUUGAAUCAUUUAUUGAUAUUACUUAAAGUGAAUGUCACUUAUUUUGUAUAUCUCCCCAGGUGCUGACAUGUUUGUGUGACGUCACGCACCUGCAUCUCGGCAAAAUUGGAGUUGAAAAUUUCCGCACGAGUUACCCAGUUGGAAUUCCGGCUUCAAGUGGCGUUCCAAUGGCUUAUAGUGCCAUUCUGUUGCACUUUUCCUAGUACAAUGAUGGAAAAUCUGAGUUGAAUGGAAUGCAACAUUAGUGUUUGGAGCCAUUAUUUUUACAUUUUUAAACAUUUACUUUCAUUGUAUGGAAAAAGAUGCAAUGGAAGUGAAUAAUGACUCUAAUAUUCUAACUCCUGUGUUCCUUUUGUGCUGAUCUAUCCCUUCACCAAGGUUCACCAUGCUAAAUUUUGUUCUUGACAUUUGUAUUAUUAUUAUUACAAACUGGAGCCCACACAAGAAUUUUAACCUUCUUCUGCAAUCCGAAUAUAACCUUGAACAAAUCAAGAUGAGUUGUAUAUAUGCUUGACUUGAGAACUAAUAUUUAUUCGCCUACAGAUCUAUUGUGCUUAUCCUGCAGUUUUGGGCACAGCACCACUUCUAUUUUGAGGUAAAUGAAUUACAUCAGUCCUAACACUCAAUCUCAGUAUAUCACGCAUUUCAGAUUUGCAAACCUUGCAAACACCCACAUAUACUGAUAGUCUCAAAAGUUUGAAGCAGUAUUUAUCUUCAGGACUCCAACCAAGGCUGAAGUGAAAAGGCGGCAGCAGGAUACAGAUAUAAAAGAAGCCUCAGAAGAAGAACUAAGGAGUGGAAGCCAAAAAGAAAGAAACCUGUCAGUCUGGAGACUCUAGGGAGCAGUGUGUCAUCUGAAUCUGCUGCCAAUACUUGGGGGAAAAAAGUGCUUCAUCCUUUGACAGCUGUCUCAUAUCUGACUGACGGGCAGCCUCACACCAGAACAAGCAGUACCACAGAUACUGCAAAGAAAGAUGAUUUUACACUGAGCGGUAAAUUCCUAAUCUUCGAUGUGAUGACAUUUGAUUUUUGCCUUUGCUUUCUUUUUUACCUGCUUCUACCUUCUUCAAAAGGCUUGCAGAAAACAAAUGCUGCAUUUGAAACCUCACAAAUCUCUUUGUGGCUCAGUUUCAAAAUAGCAUGCUACAAAAGAUUCCCUUGUGACAAAAUAUUAGUAAAAAUCACAGUGCAUGCAUACGGCUGUAAAUAUUCUGAAAAUAACAUUUUCCAUGGCAAAAAGUUUGAGCAUCUGAAGAAACCUUAAAGAGAAUACAGCAAGAAUGAAUUUAGUUGCAUGAAAUUUUUAUUUGCAAGCAGUAACUAAUUCCAAUCUAGUAAGUCUAUGCAUUUGAGGUGACCUUCCCAACACUUUGUAAUUUUGUUCCCUUUGUACAGUUUGUGAUGAUGGCAUUGUGCUGGGAAAUUUGAGUGGAGCCCAUUAUCGAAUAAGGUCCGGUCUGCACCAAUUACUUGGCAGCAGAGCUCAGUGGUGAUUGGAGCCCCCUAAGAGAUUGAACCACAGUCUUUACAUAGUGAAAAGCUUGAUGUUAGAAUUACAGAGGCACUUAAUGACAUUGUAAAUGCUGUCAUCAAGCAAGCCGACUACCCCGAAAAUGUAUUAACCAUCUGUAAUUGGGUCAUUAAAUAAUGGUCAGUUUACAAAGCUCAUUUACAAAGACGUGACCUGGGAAACCCUCAAAAACAUUCAAUUAUUAAUAUUAUGACAACCAGUGCUGCAUUUAGAGGGAUGUGUGCUUUAGGGAGUUGCUGAAAAUGGCAUUUAAAUGGACAUGCCAGCCUCCCUUAAUAAGGUUAAUGGUUAGGUUAGACACAACAAAUGUGGCUGAACAUGACUCUAGUUGAAUCGCAAAGAAAUAUGCAAACAUGUGUCCUGACUCAAGAUAUACAUCCACAGAUGUGUGGAUGCAAUCUCUGUUUAUUAAAAUAAAAAGCUACAAAAGGGCAGAUAUAAACCCAUAACCCACACUUACAACGACAAUGCUACCAUUAGACCAACCAGUCUGUCUCUUUACAGCAGAGCCAAUUGAUGUAUUUUACCACUAGCUAACAAUAUCCCAUGACAAAUUUACAGCUAAAUUUAUCUUAUUAAUUAUGUGCAUUAUGACGGGGGCCUGGAUAGCUCAGUGGUAAAAUACGCUGGCUACCACCCCUGGAGUUCACUAGUUCGCUAGUUCGAAUCCAGGGUGUGCUGAGUGACUCCAGCCAGGUCUCCUAAGCAACCAAAUUGGCCCAGUUGCUAGGGAGGGUAGAGUCACAUGGGGUAACCUCCUCAUGGUCGCUAUAAUGUGGUUUGUUCUCGGUGGGGCGCAUGGUGAAUUGAGCGUGGUUGCCGCGGUGGAUGGCGUGAAGCCUCCACAUGCACUAUGUCUCCGUGGCAACGCGCUCAACAAGCCACGUGAUAAGAUGCGUGGGUUGACUGUCUCAGACAUGGAGGCAACUGGGAUUCGUCCUCCACCACCCAGACUGAGGUGAAUCACUAUGCGACCACAAGGACUUAGAGCGCAUUGGGAAUUGGGCAUUCCAAAUUGGGAGAAAAAGGGGAAGAAUCCCCAAAAAAAAAAAAAAUUAUGUGCAUUAUUAAUUUGAGUGCUUGAAUUUGUCAGCAAGAAUGAGUGUUUAUCGAAACAGACCAUUUAAAAGAAUUUUUUACUGUGCAAAAUGUGUGAGUUUCCCCACUUCGCAUCCCCGUGAGAGCGGCAAAAGCAUAAACGGAACACGCAUGUUCCCUAGUCCAAGUGCCUGCCACAUGCAACCUCUGUCAAUGCGACUUUGCAUCUGUGAUGUGACUUAUAUAUAUUUAUUUAUUUUUCUAUUUUUUUAUUUUUUCUGAAAAAACAAUUCGAUUUUGACCAGGUGUGACUUAUAUUCAGGUGCCACUUUAUUUCCAGAAAAUACAGAAAACCCAAAACUCUGCUUUCGUGUCAGUCAGCUUUCUCACUACAAACAUUUUAUUGGUGUCCUUAAAUUUAGAUAUUAUAAUUUAACAUCCAUUCGGAUGUAGUUACUUAAGUUUUGGAAAACAGUUGUGUCUAGAUGGUUCAUUUCACCAAUGAUGCAUCGUACUGUGGUGGAUAAGCAGUGAGUUUCAUCGUUAUAUGGAGACCUCACCCCUGUUUGUUUGAGAAUCCUGACCAGGGGUGCAUUUCCCAUACAACGACGUAACUCACUGCUUAACCACCAUAGUGCGAUGCAUCGUUGGAGAAAUUAACAAGCUAGUCACGACUGUUUCCCGAAACCCUAGUAACUACAGUGUGUUGCACAUCCAUCGUUCGAACCAUGUUGGUUCAACAACAUUCAGCUGUCAUUAAUCACGUUAUGCAGGGGGUGGAGUAAUAACUUCAGUGAAUAUUAAAUUAUAAAAGCUCAUUUACACGUACAACAGAAAACCGUUUAAUGUGAGAAAGCUGCUGAUGACAGGAAAGCUGCAUGCACUUUGUAAUGCAACAAUUUCAUACGCUGCAAUAGUGGGGUUUUCCUUGAGCACAUACGCACAUGCGCACACUUCCAAAACAUAUAAACGGCACUUAUGCGUUAACAAAUACAUAAAACCCGUGUUCUCCAACAGAAACUGUGUGUGAUAAAGCGCUUUCUAUUAACAGCCUUUAAUCUCUUAAACAGCCGCCUUCGCUUGUACGUAAUGUUUCCGAACCCCGCUUUCUGCAAAACCCCAGAAUAAGUAAUUUUCUUACAUUUGAAAACAGUCAUUAUUUUUGCAAUUCUGUUUGAUGAUGCUAGUUAUGCAGGUUAAAAACUACACCCUUCACCUUUAAUGUCACUAACAAAUGGAGGUAAGAAUAAAAUAAAUGGGGUUAAGUGUUCAAAGUUUAACAGUUCAAAAGGGGUUGGUUUUUAAAGCAGUUAAAAAAAAAAAAAAGUACAAUCAAAGGAGCCACAAACUGUUAGUCUGUGCAAUUCUACAUUUCCCCCCCUUUUAGCUAAUCUUGUCAUCAUUUUUCUCAAACUGUCUUGCUCUAUUCAGUGUGCAGUAUGUGUGGUGUAUGCCUCCAGAUAUUUUGCCUCCCCAGGGAAAUCCGGCUUCAACAACAAACAUGAGACUUCCUCCCCGUUCCAGCUGAAAUCCUUGCAAGUUAAACCUCAAACGGCUCAGCGCUAAGCACGCGUGCAGCCACACAUGCAGUUUUCCAAGGUCAGCUCCUUCCUUCCGCUCGACUUCAACGACUCACGACUGGCAGAAUUGAAAAGCUUUGUCAGGCUGAUUAAACUUGGAAGGCGUUAUGUAAAAAGCGCCUGAUUCAGAUUUGACAGACAGUUAAGAGUUUCUCCCUUUCUUCCCCCUUUCUUGCUCCACACUCUUAUUUAACAAGAUCAGAUGUUAUGUCACAGCAAGGUGCAAUUUUCAUUAACCUCCAGCUGUGCUAUGAUUUGAAUGUGCCAGCCCUGCAAUUAGUUGAUUGUGAUUGAUUGAUUGAAGUCAGCUGCUUUUUUAUCCCCCCUUCAUUGAGGGCUCAGGUAAUUCAUUCAGACCUCCUCCCCCUUAAGGCUUGUGCAUUAUUCUCUGACAAGCUCGGCUUGCCGGAACACUCUUAGGCAGAUUUGAGGCCACGGCAUGGGGCAAAUGCAAACGCUCUCAUCACAGCAUGGCCGCGACAUACUAACCAGUACUGAAAGGGGAACAGGUGAAACUGGACAAAAUGCUGUUCACAGUUUGUCACUGUAUUCCACUUUCAUCUAGAAAUUAAGGUGUGAUACAAUUUUAAGAUACUGAUACAAUGUGUUUUAUCACAUUGAGCCACUUCAAUCAUUACAAGUGCAUGAUUGAAACUUACUGUCAAUAAUCAAAUUAAUUUUUAUAUUUAAAGGAAUAGUUCACCCAAAUUAAAAUUAUCAUACGGUAGCUUUGUGCAACCAACAGAACGAUUUAGUCAUUAAUUAAAAAUUCUGCCCUGAGUAAAAAGGUGAGUAAACCAUGACAGAUUUUUUUUAUUUUUAUUUUUGGGUGAACUAUUUCUUUAAUUUUUAUAUUAAUGUUAUUUUUUUGUGUAUUGAUGGACUAAAGGUGAAUGGUGUGUAAUAAUAUAUGAAUUACUGUGAUAUUUUUCUGUGAUAUGCAAAUGUGAAAAUUACUGGCAUAACAUUUUGUUGUUGUAAAAUAAAUGUCUAGCCAGGUAAAAGGGAAAAAAAAAAAAAAUAUAUAUAUAUAUAUUUUUUUUUUU